rnacentral:tRNA from 1 species
CAAGGGAGUGCCGCAGGUCGUUAACGCCUGCGACGCUUGCGGCGUCGCUUAGUCUCGGUGCGGGUGCCGGAAUCAUUGUCCA